AGUGGCGGACGGGUGAGUAACGCGUGAGAAUCUGCCUUGGGGUCGGGGACAACCACUGGAAACGGUGGCUAAUACCGGAUAAGCCGAUUGGUGAAAGAUUUAUUGCCCGAAGAGGAGCUCGCGUCUGAUUAGCUAGUUGGUGAGGUAAGAGCUCACCAAGGCAGCGAUCAGUAGCUGGUCUGAGAGGACGAUCAGCCACACUGGGACUGAGACACGGCCCAGACUCCUACGGGAGGCAGCAGUGGGGAAUUUUCCGCAAUGGGCGAAAGCCUGACGGAGCAAGACCGCGUGAGGGAGGAAGGCUCUUGGGUUGUAAACCUCUUUUCUCAGGGAAGAAGCUCUGACGGUACCUGAGGAAUCAGCCUCGGCUAACUCCGUGCCAGCAGCCGCGGUAAUACGGAGGAGGCAAGCGUUAUCCGGAAUUAUUGGGCGUAAAGCGUCCGCAGGUGGCGAUUCAAGUCUGCUGUCAAAGCACGGGGCUUAACUCCGUAAAGGCAGUGGAAACUGAAUAGCUAGAGUGCCGUAGGGGUAGAGGGAAUUCCCGGUGUAGCGGUGAAAUGCGUAGAGAUCGGGAAGAACAUCGGUGGCGAAGGCGCUCUACUGGACGGCAACUGACACUCAGGGACGAAAGCUAGGGGAGCGAAUGGGAUUAGAUACCCC
rnacentral:rRNA from 1 species